GCUCAGAGGGGCUCCAGAGAGUCCUGUGGUGAGAAUGAGGCGAGGGGGUGGGUCCCAGGCAGGACGGGGCUCCUCAGGUCACAGGACCCCUCCUCUACUUGGUUCUAGGAGCCACUGAGACCAUCAGUCCAGCGCAGAACAGCUCAGACCCCAGUUCAGGGGAGUCAGGAGGAUUCUCAGCCUCACCUCCCCAGGACUACACAGUGCAGAACCUCAUCCGCUUGGGCCUGGCUGGCCUGGUCCUGCUGGUCCUCGGGAUCCUGCUGUUUCAGGCUCAGGACAGCCAGAGAGGGACCCGAGAUGCAGCCAGGAGGUGAACAGGAGACAACAGGGCACACUGAGAGGGCAGAGCUGGGAGCCGAAGGACCCUCAGGAGUCUGAAGGCCACCUGGACAGGUGGGGCUGCACCUGAGACUGUCCUGGCAGCAGAGGUGACUGGGUGCAGGACCAGCUGGGUGCUGGCUGAGAGCCUUCCCCACCAUGCUGUACGCACCCAGGGCUGGCCCACCGCUCUCUGCAGCCCUCCAUGCGCCAGUGCCCACUGGGAGCUGUCUGUGAAGAUGCCCCUGAAACACGGGACAUGCAAGCCACAGGCUGGUGUCUGAGGGACUGUGUAAGGGGCGCUGGUCCUGUGGACAUGACUGUGAAAAAGUCGCAUUAAAACCCUGAGAGUCCUGC